UUUUUUUUUUUUUGUUGGGGGGUUGGGGAGGGGGGAUAACGUGAACUAUGAACUAACCGAGGAGUUAGACACAGGAAAAGCAGGCCAAGAGCUCCUGAAACAUGUGACGGUGUUAUCAGAUUAAAAUCAGCAGCUUAGCAGCGAAACAGAUGAAAGCCACACCCCAGAGUCGUUGAAUGAAUUUAGACUACCAUACUGAUUUGACAAAAUGCUCAACAAUUUGUCAUCAUGCAAAAGGUUUUACACACCAUAACUUGAGUUGCCUUAUACAUCACUAAGUUACAAGUUGGAUCACCCAAUUAUUUCUCUAGCCUAAAAUAAUGCAAUGACAACAAAAUAUCACAUGGGUAUAAAGUUGAAAAUAAAAUUCAAAAUUAGAUUAUCCAACAAAAAUGUGAGUUAACUUGUAUUGAAGCAAUAUUCAUGUUCUGCUAAGUGAAUCACAAAUUAGCAUCCAGGUUUCUCUUAUUUUUCACAGAUUAACAAGGCCAUGAUAUUACUGUUAGCAUACAAAAAAAAAAAGGAAUAUCAAAUUUACAUUAAGUUCAAUAUGUUAAUAAAAUUCAUGAUAAUAAUCAAAAUUUAGCAGUCAAGUAUGUGCAGAAUAUGAGGCAGUUCACUAUUAAAUGGACAAUAAUUAGCAGGCUUGCCUCUCACCUUUCUGUAGAAAAUCCUUCUGCAUUCCAAUUUCCACCUCCUGUUGCUUUAGCUGUCCCGUCCAACCAAUCUUUAGAUAAGCAUAUAUAAGUUAGAGCAUAUAACAAUUUUUUUAAAUAAACGACAAUCAACCACAAGUUAACAGAUGAAGGCAAGAAAUGGAGUCUAAGAAGUAGAAUGAAUACAUAUGCAAACUUUCAAUACCUAUAGGUAAAACUAAAGAAAUAUAGAAAACUACUCUACAAGAUUUAUGUCGAACACUCUAAAUAACCCAUGUGCACAUCACUGAAAAUAUAAGAAACAAAAUGGCAAUUGCAAACAUCAGGCACAUAGAGUGACCAACUGAAAGCCACUCAUGUUUAUAUAAUCAGAUUAAUGAUUGUUACAUUUGUUAUCUUACAGUGAAACUUUCAUAGUUAUUUGAAGUUUCAUGACAUCAGAUCGCAGCACAUCCUAAAAAAGUGUUGGUUCUGGUAAAAUUCCUUUGAUUAAAAUUUUCCUCAAAAAAUGCCUCUCACAAAGAGAGUUAUCAAAAGUUGUCUUUGUAAUUUUCACUUGGAAUUUAUCCAUGAAAGUUGAUUUGAAUCUCUUCAAAGAGAUUACAUGCUUGCUUGUGAAGUGGCUACUUUGUCAAUUCCCCUUCGUUCAAACAAUUGAUAAGGGCAUGCCUAACAGCCAGCUCAAAAUCAUAAACUUACUCCCUUCAAAAAGGACUUCCACAGAAGUCAAAUUGCUAAAUAAAACAUGUGCCAGGAACCAAUCUAAUAUCGACACCAACCUCAAUAUCAUAAGGAGAAAGAACAUGCAAGAAGAGAUUACUGUCUACUAUUAUAGUAGAUAAUUGAAGCUUUUCAACUAAAACAUACUAAUAUACAAAAAAAAGAGUACUCGUUUCAACCUGUUGAGCCAUCCUGUGUACCAAGGAGAUCAAAUGGCCUUAAAGAGUCAGAUUCCUCCCUGUGGUAACAUAAAACAGACAUUAGAAUACAAAUACAGAUACAAACCCUAGAUGAUAGACAUUAAUUCAAAAACGAUAAAUAAGUACCCCAAAGAAAUGCCAGAACUUUUUGCACGAACCUCCGCGAGAUGCUCACAUUUAACUACAAACAAAUUAUAUAGACACAUUAAUUUAGGUCAACAAGGUUUAGUCGAAAACUAUAUAUAUAUACAUAUAUAUGAUUCAUCCAACCUGUAAGUAUUUUAUGCUGAGAGUCAAGCUUCACAGUGAUGUCAGACCGCCGUAUUGCCAAACACGACAAAGGUACCCCUUCAAUGGGCCCACACGGAUUCUAAGUGAUUGUCCCACAGAGAACAUUGUAUUGUUUUCCCUGUUGACUACAUAGCAAAAACAUUUCAAGCAAAAGUAUUAAAACUUUGAACAGUCAAAGACUAUGAAAGCAGUAAGAAUGUUCACAUACAGUUUCGGCUACCAUCCCUUCCUUGAUCAGAUUGCUUAGGCGAGAGGGGACUUAGGAGAAGAAGCAAAAUCCCCAAAUACUACAGUUUCUGUUCACCACCCUAAUCCAAAAAAGAGAGCACAAAUUAGCAUUAAAGAUAAUGUGUCAACAAAAUGCAGCAGUUCUAUCCAUUCAACCCAUUCUUUCUUUUUUUCAGGUUGGCUUGCAUAUAUUGUUUGUUCGAAGCAGGUGGAAGGGAAAUAAAUUGGCUUGCACAGAAGUUAAUCAGACAUUUUCUGGGACAAAAUCAGAUGCUGAACAAAGGAAACGACCAUGAGAUGCGACAAACAGGCUUAAUUGUAUAUUUUGUAAAAGGUACAAAAGUUGUGCAUAUUUAUGAUAUCCCAAGCCAUAAUGAAAUUGUCUUAGAAUGUGUAAUAAUAGAUGAGGAUAAUUGUUUUUUUCACAUCCUAAUCCUUAUCAAAAUCAACAGGAAUUUUUUGCUCUUUUUUUUCUGAGAAAAACAUACAUUCAUAAGCCCUCAUAGCAUAAUAUACAUAAAUGGAUACGCAAAUAAACCUUUUAAACUAUUCAAGUGACAAAUGAAAACGGAAUUUGCAUCACCAUUGGACAAAUUUACACCAAAAGAGGCACUAGAAAGGGCUAUGCAAGCAGAAGCUUGUUCAUCCACAUACACAGCAUGAUGUACUGUGCUACAAGCGUAAGAAUUCUUGUGUCUCUCGGAACUCGUUACAAUCUCAUAUUGCAUAUAGCCUCCAAAUAAAAGCAAGCAUAUAAUUGUCUAUGCAUAAAAUUCCAUAUUAUGACAUAUCAAAAAUUAAGACUUCAAUUGAUACCACAUUAGUUAACAUCGGGUGAGAUUUUCCUGAUAACUUCUUCUGGAUUAUCAUCAUUUAUUAAGUGGUUAGGAAUAAAAAAAAAAUUACUAAACAAAUGGAUUCCUUCAUGUACACAAAUUCCAUUUGCAGGUUGUGGGCAGUCAUAGGUAGUCAGUCAAAAGAUUUACUACUUUCCAAAUUUAAAAACACAUACAAACCUUCUCAUUACGUGCUUCACCAGGAAGCUCAACUUUUUCGCACAACUGUGCCUUAAAGCAAAUGUAACCACUGUUCUCCUCUACGGUUUCAUUGUACAAGAAAAUAAUCCCUCUGUAAAUUUUCUUGACAAUGCCUUCUCUAUCCUGUAUAGUAUAAGCAAAUCAGCAACCAAAUAACCUAAGUCAUAUAGUGUCACUUGAAAUGCAAAAUUUUUGUUAAACCUUCAUUGGACCAUCCAAAACUCUGACUCUGUCAUUAAUUGAUAUAUUCUUCAUUUUCUGAUCAAGUGCUGUGAAUAGCUUCUUAUCGAAUGCUGCAUUCUUUAACUCCUUCCGCGGAAUAGUGACAACUACUGGUCCCUCUGAGCCCUCCUUGAUAAUCUGAAACAAAAACUAUAAUGUUAAGUCACUGGCAGUAAAGUGACCACAUAAACUGAGAGGUAUACCUUGAAAAUCUCAUCCUUCUCCGUGCCAAUGACAACACCAAAAUCCUUUCGACUGCAAUGGCAAAAUUCCCAGGUUACACCAAAGUAAGUUAAUACUCAUACUAGAAGAAGCAAUGGCAAAGCCAACGUGGAAAUAAGCGAUAACCGCACUUACCCAAAAAAACUAAAUCAUGCACUUCAAAAUCAGUGUCCAGGCUUGGCAUUGAAGAACCUUCACCUUUUCCACCACCUUUGUCACAAAUAAAGGACGUUUCUUUUUCUGUUCGCCAUAAAGCUGAUAACCACUCUAGAUCAUUGUAUUCUUCAUUCCUUGAAGGCUCAAAUUUAAGAAGCUCAUCUUCUGUAGGUGUUACUCCCCAAAAGCUUAACGAGUCAAUGGAUACUUUCUUAUACAGAUAGCCAUCCUUCAGCAUCAUCCCAUCAAGAACCUCAAAGACUUUGUUAGUAUCACGGUCCCGUCGACAUUGAAUCAGAGGCCGGAACUCUCUUUACAUAUACAAUAUGGGAAAUAUCAAUACCACAAAAACUUUAUUUAAAGACCAAACAAAAAAAAAGAACAUAUACAUAUAGCACGCAAAUUACUCGAGUUCACUAUUGCUUAUGAGUCUUGGUGCCGGAUUAGCAGUCUGUUGGCAGUAAUUCCUCUACCCUGUACAUGCAUGAACGAUACAAAUCAUAACGUAACAACCAUUUGGUGCCAACAGUAACAUAAAAGGAUGCAAAAGCAGAAGCAUAUUAAUGCAGCAGAUAGUAAAAUUAUUUAAAGCAUAUUAAUGCUGCAAAUAGCAAAUUAUUUAUCACAAACUUCAAUAGUAAUUUUGUACUAGUAAUUUCUAAUUGCUCAAUCUUGUCAAAAUUUAGACAGAGGAGAUAUGAUUUCUUUGCAGACAUGGGGAGAAGGGGAGAUCCCCAAUGUUCCUUGUCAAUAACAGGCCUUUUUUACCCAUAAGGAAAAAUAAAUUACUUCAAGUAAGAUUACCAUAAAAUGACACAUUAGUGAGAAGUAUCUUACAAAUUUCUCAGCCAAUGCUUUCAAGUCUAUCCUAGGAAUCAGCUUCACGGUCACUUUCUUCCGUGCAGAAUUUACAGCCACAACCUACAUAUAUAUAAUAGAAACAGCUAGAAAUCAGUGAAACACAAAUCUUAAAGUUAAAACUAGAAGAAUAUGGGAGAAAUACCAAAUGAAGACCGGAGAAAAGAAAAAAGAAACGGCCAAAGAUCAAACAUAUCAACAGGAACAAAACCAUACCUGUGCUAAAUCACCUUUGUAUUUCCCAUUCUUAACACGUGCCCACAUUCCCUCAGAAAUUCCAUUACUCUUGUUUUUAACAGAAAAUAAAUGAUUAAUGUCCUCCUUUGGUACAGGUGCCACGCGACUUGAAUAUAUGCUACACAGCCCAUUACACGCCUGUAUUGUGGGUAUUUAGUCUCCAAGUAAGCAAAUGAACAAUUUUAGUAGCAUAAGAAGCAACCAAUAGAAACACGGACAUCCAAUUUAUUUGGAGAAACACAAAAACUUCAAAAUUCAGAAGAUCAACGGAAGAACAAUGACUACCUCAUUAAUAUCACACUGCUUCUCUGCUUCGAUAUAAAUAAAACCCUUAACGUGAUCAAUUGUAAAUGCAGAAAUUAUCUGCAGCUUCUUUCCCAGAAAUUGCAAGUCCACGUAUUUCUGCAUGAGGCAGAAGGCUGAAUGCCUCUCACGUCCAACCUAUGGCCCAUCAAUUGCUCAUGAGCAAAAUGAUGCAAAAGAAAAGAACUUCAUAGCUUGAAAAGAAAAGGAAUCUGUUUUAAAACUUGAAAACUAUGAUGUCACAAUUUUAUACCAUGCAUUUGACUUUCCAGAUGAUUGGAUCCUUAACAGAAGGACAGUGUUCAGGCAUUUCCACCGUUCUUUUGCUCUCGUAAUUGUCUUCCGCAUAUGUCACAAAAGUAGAGCCUGGUUUGUAUCGUUCCUGUAACAUCUUUUCAAGUUCUUCUUCUGUUGGUUCCUCCACUUUGGGAACAAAAGGCAGAAAGGGGGCUCUGCUAGGUUCAGACUGGAAUUGCAUUGCUGCAGCUGCUGUGUCAAAUUCAUCUUCCAGAGAAUCUAGUUUCAGCAAAUGGUAACAAAUUAGAUUGACAAGCAUGAGUACAAGGAACCUAACAAUCAACAGAAGAUUCAUUAGUAAAUAUGCCAACAGGCUUGAUGAAAAAAUCAACCAGGAAUAUGCUAGGAGAGCCAGCACAAGAAAAUAACAAGAAGCAUCGGCACAUUUGGAUAAGAUAAAAAAUAACAGGUAGAGUGAGGACUCCUUAGCGACAAGCAGAAAACGAAUAAUGUAUCAAUGAAUUGCUUAAAAGAGGACCAUUUUCGGCUAACGAAUAACGUAUAAAAUAAUUGAAGCACAGAUGCAUGCAUAUUUACAGCAUAAUAAAGUCACAGUUGCAAGAAGUGAGUGACCACAAACACCAAAUGAACAUACAUGCCAUUUCCCUCUCUUUGUUAAUAAAAUACAAUUUUCAAGAAAUGCUACCUCAUUUUCAUAUUUAAUGGGUGGAGAACAACAACAAAAAAAAGUCAGUGGUCCAUCAAAAUUACAUCAAAAUAUCACAAUUCAAAAACCACAUUAAUAAAAAUGCAUAUCCUCCUUCUAUAUGAUAAAUAAACCCAGCAACAACAACAAAAACUGCUAAGCAAAAGUUCCCCAAAGCAUCAUGAACGCAAUUUAAAUAAGCCACCUUACCGACAAACUAAAAAGAAAAAGAAAACAACAUAAUUCUGCACACCCCGAGCAAACAUGCUUUUUCAGUGAGCUUUAGCAUUUAUUUUCUUUUUCUUCAUUCACCAUUGAAAGUACACAAUCGAUUAUUUACCUUAAAAGAUGCACGCAGAAAUGCCAAAUAUCAUCACUAUAUUUCAGCUAAAAUCCUUCAAUAAAACACAAAAUAUCAAUAAUGUUUGGGAAAAAAGCAUAUCAACAAUCAACUAGAGCCAGCAUUGCCGAUUAAAAAACCCUAAAUCCCCAAUCAUCUCAUGUUGGAAACAAAAUUAAUCUAAAUUUUCACUUCACACACCAAAAAAACCCUAGCUUUUACCACACUUUCAAAAGGUAAAAAUAAAAAGAAAAGAAGAAUAAAUAUAGUCCAUGCAAGUGGGAAAUGUCGAUGGAAAAGUUCAAAUAUACCAUCAUCGAAGAAUGAGUCGUCACUGGCAUCAUCCUCAUCAACUUCGUAAGCGGCAUCGUCAAAGAACUGAAGAACGCCGCGAUUCUUCCGUUUCCGACCACCAGUUUUGCCGUCGUCACCACCGCCGAUGUUACGCUUCCUCUUCCCCGACGAGCCUUUGCCGCCGUCAAUGACCUUCUCUUUACCCUUCGCCGAUGGGGCCAUUCCUGAGGGCACUUUUAUCCCUUCUUUUUUGUUUUAAUAAUUAGUACUAGUAUUUAUCAUCUGCGGAGAAUUCUACAGCUGCUCGUACGAACUCACGCAGAAUGAGUGAGUGACACAGUGAAUAGAGUGUUGUGAAACGCUUUCUUCGGAGAGUGGAAUCGUGAGCUAUACACAAAGGUGCAAGAUUGAAGAGUUUUUUUGCGGUUAAGGUCCUUAGUCUAUUGGUUAGUUUUCAAUAACGCUUUUAUUUAGAGAAAAUUACAGUAGUGCCAUUUUUAAAGGUCUAUUCCGUUUUCCUCACUCUCAACAGCGCAAAGAAAUACACGCGCAUACAGAAUCUAAGGUAAUUCCGCCGAUUUACCCAAAAGACAAUUGCUUAUUUCGUAAUAGGCUACGAUUAAGCGACAGAGUGAACCUAAUUCUCCGUCUACUACACAAAGAGUAGUUAAAAACAAUACACUAUUUACCUACUUAGAGUGCUUUACUUCUUAUAAAUUUUAUUUCAAAAGUAAUAUUCUAUAAUUUGUUAGGAUAGUUAAGAGUUGUAAUAUCAGCAAUCAUAUUUCGCACACUUUUGUUGGAUUUUUGACGAUGAAUAAAAAAAUUUGAAAUCUAUUAAAUUAGUGAAUUGUUAAAUACUAAAUUUGAUACAUUUGAUUAUAUAUUACAUUAAGUGAUAAGUGAAUAGUUUAUCACUUAUUUUUUGGAGUAAAUUUUAUUUAGAAAUUUGGGUGCCACUUAAAUGAAUUCAGAUGUUCUAGUUUUGGUUAUCAAACGCAUUUGAAUAUGUUAAAAUCUGAACUCAUUAUAUUUAAAUAUUGAAUUAGAUUAUCAAAUAGGGCGUUAGAGUGUUGUACAUCUUAUAAAUUUUAUUUUAGAAGUAAUAUUCUAAAAUUUAUUAGGAUAGUUAAGAAUUGUAAUAUUAGCAAUCAUAUUUCACACACUUUUGUUGGAUUUUUUUUUUUUUUUUUUAAGGAGAGAUUCCUUUGUUUGGAGGGUGGACUAUAUGUAAGGAGAAAAAGGCAAAAUAAAAGAUUUUAAAGGUCCAGCCACAAAUUUCAACUGAACUGAGUCUUGGUUACACAUAUAUUGGUUUCAUUAUUGUGAUGGUGCAUAACAAUUAGUACUACACAAAACUGCAGAAAAUUGACACCCAAAAACAUUUAGGGUCCGUUUGGUAGGGUGUAGAAUGCUUUCCAUUGGAAGACAUUUUCCUUGAAAGUAAUUUUCUGGGAAAAUAUUUGUUUUCUUCAUUGUUUUCCUGUGUUUGGUUCAAUUCUCAACAAGUGAAAACCGCUAGAUCAAAUUGGGGCCUAUGACUGCUAGUUUUCCUUCAUUAGCAAUCUCCAUCGCAUGCAACAUCACGCUACCACAAAACUCCCCACAGCCCUCAUCCCUGUGCAACAGUUGCAACAGCCCCACGGGCGAUUCGUGCUCAACCCAUAGACAAAUAGGCAAACGGAACGAGACAAGCAACCCGUGGCACCUGGAAAGUGACCAUUUGUAUCGAAGCAUAAGCCAUCAGAAUUGACAAAUACUACCACUUUAUUGGCCUUCUUUCUCCCCUCUCCAUUCCAUUGCAACUUUCUCCAUUGGGCUAACGGUAGCUUCUCACUUUCUUAUUGAUGAUCUUUGUCCUUCCUUUCUUUCUGUCAAGACCACAAUUCCUCUUGAUUUCCGCAGAUCUUAGUCUAAUUUUGUAAGCAUCCGGUGAGAAUAUGUCAAUAAAUGCUUGUAUUUGAACGCACAACGGUGGGAGAAAAAGGGGUACACAUAUGGAGAAGAAGCGAAAGGUAAUUGUUAGUGUUACACUCCCUUGAAUUUUACUCGUAGGCUACAUUUUUUUCUCCGUAUUCUUCUAUUUGUCAACUAUCAAAGAGGUAGUAAUCUAGCGUGAUAGACAUUGGUGUUUGUCCGGUAAGAUUGGACAACAGGUGUAGACAGCGAAAAUUAACUUCAACAAGUUUUUUAAGGAAGCUAUUUUACACUAUAUAAGGCGUAAAAUGUUUUAUACAAGAAAAUAUUUUCAUGUACCAUAAUACAAUCAAAUGCAGGAAUUCAAGGAAAAUAUUUUCGGGAAAAGGUUUUCAGUCAAAACAAACAUACCCUUAGAAAGUCAAACAGACAAUUACAUUGCUUAAUUGAAGCCAAGAAGACCACGAAAAUUGCAAUGGCAAGAAUGUACCUACAAUAAAAGAGAGGGGAGGGGGGACCCAUGACUUUCUGUUUAUUUAUGAUCAGCUGAAGAAACCAUUGCGAUUUCCUUCUCAUUGGCUUCCAUCUCAUCUCUAAACUUCAUGUAUAUAUUUGACUUGUAAUAUUCCCGAGUCCUCAUUACCAAGAUUAAAGAAAUAAGAGCUCCAAGAGUGUUAACGCCGGCUAAUAUUAGAAAAGAUGUCCUGUAACAUUGAGUCCCAAUGCAAGUCAAGUCAGGAACCAUUGAUCUUGUCAGCCCCGCCCUUGCAAGUUGCUUUAAAGCCUCUUUAUCAUAGAGUUUUCCCACAAUCCUCACAUUGAGGAAGUAUGAUCCAAUAGGGCUGGCCAAUUGUCCACAAUUCAAGAGAGUGGAGUAGUACUUCAAUCCAAAAAGUUCAGAUAUAAUCACGAAAACCAUGGUUAACUGGACGCCAUAAGCAAAUCCAACCAAUACUGAUGCAAUGUAAACAGAACCAGGAAAUGGCAAGGCAAUAAUGAGAUCUCCAAUGGCAGGCACCACAAGGGAUAUCGUCAUCAUUAGAGUCCGCGGAACUUUCCACUUCCUCAACAGUUGCUCAGAGCCAAAACCCGAAAGAGCUCUGCCAAAAUAGUUCCAGAUGCUAAGUAGGGAGACAAAUGUGUUAACUGUCUUAGUUGGAUAGCCUAAGGAUUCACCAAUCUGGCCUAAAUUAUCCACUGCUGCUUGACUGCAACCAAGCCCACAAAAUGUGACAAUGAAAAGAAUUAUCAUGUCAGCACUUAAUAAAGCUUGACAUAUGGUAUAAUCUUCACCCCUUUUGGGUUUGUUGCAGAUGUCUCCACAGCAACAACCUUCUUGACGGAACUCAUCAUCCCCUCCUCCUUUAUCUAUGGUACAAUGUGCAGGGACAAUUUCCUGCUUUCUGGGGUUCGAAGACUCGGGCAAAGGUGGUUCCUCGGUAACUACCUGUUAGGGGGUUUUAAUGCAUCUUCCUUCUUUUGCUGCCAAGUCUCUAAUUCUUCUUUCACUGCAACCAGGAAUGGAAGGAAAAGCAGAACACAAACACCUGUUGCACUUGCUACAUAAUCAGCGUGAGAGAAAUUGAAAUAGUUUUGAGCGAUUGUCAGAGCCAUCAGGGUCAGUGCCAAACCCACUGUUAUGAUGAGAUUUUGAUACAUAACCUUCACCUCGUGGGGAUGACCACUAAUCUUCUUCAUUUCCUUGAUGCAGAAGAGGAAAACUAAAGAAAUCACUGCUGGAAGCCAACCAAUAAGAAGGAUCAUAUCUUUGGCAUCAAUUAUGAUAAAUUGCAAGAUAAAGCUGUGUAAAAAUUGCACCACUAAGCCCUACAAAUCCCUUCAUCAGUCCUAACAUCAUCCCCCGACGUUCGGGGAAAUUUUUUACACAGGGAACAAGGGAUCCCGUGUUUGCAAAAUUCUGGGAAUUCGCACCAAUGCAUAUAUAUACACACAUUUGCCAAACUGGGGGUUUUGGUAUUCUUUUGGUCACUGCCAGCCAUACUAGGAAAUAACCAGAAAAAUUCAUAAGAGCACCAACCAAGAGAACAAACCAGGAUGGUGUUACCUCGGCUAAUAAUCCCGACAGCACUCCAAUUGUCGCUCCUAGAUCUUUGCAUGAGCCAAGAAUAUUGAGUGUUGAUUGAUCAUAGCCAAGACUGGAUUUUAUCGCUUUUGAAUAUGCACCAAAAAUGUAAGUCGCACCGGAGCCAGACAUGAUCAAGAAUGUAGCAAACAUCAUGAACCAUCUGCCCCGAAGAAAUUGAACCAUGAAACCACACAAUCCACAGCCAUGACUGGAUGUUAGCACCGUGGUUUCAGCCAUGCCCUUCUCUUCUGCUAUGCUGUGCUUUCUUUGGUAGUUGCUAAUAAGAGUAAUAUGCCUGGCUAAUCGAAUAAGGUAGUUAGCUAAGAAUAUGAUAGUAAUUUCUUGUUUGAGAGAGGAAAAGUGCAAGAAUAUAUAUCCGAUUUUGCAUUCGAUAUUGGAUUUUUCAGAUAAAGAUGUAGUUUGAGUGAAAUAGAUGGCAGUUCAGAUAAACCAGAAUGACGAAGUCUAUGGGAAUAAAAGACAGAUAUUCAGCACGUUCAUUUAACGUAUUCGUGGAGAUUCUUUGUUUCUCUUAUUGCCUUUGGGUAAAUUUAGACUAGAAACAAUUUUUCGUUUUCUGCCAAAUAGUAGAAACAAAUAUAGUACAAAAUUAGGUGUAAAUUAGAACGAAUCUGUGAUUAAAUUGAACUUAAUUAGUUAGCAAUCUCGUAUCACAGCAUUAAAUAGCAAGCUGGUAACGAAAAAGAUAAUAAUGAUGUAACGAUAAUAAUUUGAUAAGAUAGCUUGCCCAAAAAUAUGAAAAUAAAUAGAAUGAUAAAAUAAAAGGAAAGUAGAAAACCAAUUAUAAAUGAAACGGUCCGUAGGGCACUCGUUAAAAUGUAUUUCAGGCGUUAGAUUUUUAGAAAUAUAAGAUUAAUUAGGGAAAACAUAUAAAUGUAAGGGGAUUAUUUAGGAAAAUAUAUAAAUGCAAUAGAAAGUAGUAAUUGUUAGUGCGUUAUAUAUAUAUAGUAGAUUGGGUGGAAUGUAGGUAUGUUAACCCUAUGAAAUUUCAUAAUUUAAAAAUUUUUAAACUAAAGUGUAUGUCAUGACAAAAGAAGAGAAAUUUAAUCUUCGUUGCAUGAUUUGUCUAACAAAUAUAACAGCCACCCGUUAAAACACCUAAAUUAAAUUAUAGAUAACUUAUCAUAUUAACAAUACAUACCAUCACAAUUAGUCUACCUGUACAUUUAGACACUUUUUUCAUAGUAAACGCACUUCUUUAAAAAUUAAUGCAUCCUAUUAAGCACCCGUUAACCAAACAAUUAGUUAUAUUAUUAAAGAGAUUGCUCGUUUCUCUUAAUAUUUAUAAUCAUUUCUCUUAAUGAAGCAUAUGAUUCACUUACCAAAAUUUAUUGUAGAAACGAAAUAAUAAAGAUGACGGGGAUUCAUCAUUGAUGACAUCCCAAUACGGUUUUAUACCGUAUACUGAAGUUAUUGGCGAGUCAGCAGCACAUUGAUUUUAAGCUAUCUUGUGCAAGGAAGACAAACAAAUAUUGGAAAGUAUUAAUUGCAAAUUUCUAGUUUUUUUUUUUUUGGGCCAAAUUUCAGCUUUCUAGAGUAGGCAAAUUUGAUGUGGUGCAAAUCUAGUAGUGGUACAACUUAUUCAGAAGCCAGAGGCAAUCUAUUUGUCUUUUGUAGCUCCAAAAAUAUCAAAUACAUUCUUGUAUGUAUACCCAGUUAACAUUUUUCUAUAUUGCACUAAGGGGCGGUUGAUUAUUUUAAUUGAUUAUAAAUUCUGAUUUCAGAUAAUCAAUUUUUUGAUGUUCUCGAUUGUUUUUAUAUCUUGAUUGUUUAAUCACUAGAAAAGAUAAAAUCCAUGAUUACCCAAAUAGUAGUUUUUACUGAUUCUGAAUAAUCAGUUUUUAUAAUCAAAUUUUGGUAAAUUUAAAGCAAUCAAGAAUAAGGCCUAAUAUUAAUAUCUUUCUCAUGAAGCCGGAAAUGGACCUCAGAAUAUCCGACCAAAAAAGACAUGCACACACACAAAAAAAGAGGAUUUACAUUAAGAUAGUCAACAACCAAAUGCUACCAUUUUAUGAACUACAUCUGAUAAUCAUGGAGCAAGCACGACACAUUUGUAGUAAUUUAAAGCAGUUCAAUUGCCACAUAGUUCAAUUGGCAAUGACCGUGAGUGUGACUGACCCGAAAUUGGGGCUUCAUUUUUCCGCAAAUCAAUACGCCUGAGGGGUGCAGAAGAUUCAAGCUCCUCGACUCGAGUUAGAAUUCCGAAUUCUUGUACUCGAAUACUCAAAAGUUUAGCGAGUCUAAUUGAACUUUUAAUACAUACAUAUAUAUUAAAUUUUUUAUAUUUAUUGUUGUGAAAUAUUAAUUAUAUCAUUUAUUUAAAAUUAUAUAUAAAAUAUUAAUUUUUAUUAGAUGAGCCCGAUUGGACUCAAAUAAGUUCGAUUUAGCUUGAUUAGGUUUAAUUAAACUCGAAUUCGAGUCCGAGCUAGAAUAAGGUAGAUUGAAAUCGAACUUGAAUUUGUGUUCGGUUAUUUCAUCUCGAGUUGAAGUCGAGCAAUGCACACUGUUAGAUCGCGAUUCGACAAGAAUGCAUUCCUAGUCGAUUCAUCCUCUGAACUCUCAAUUUUGGGCUUGAUAGGUCAGCCUACCCAGUUGAAAAUGAAUGGCGGAUCAAAGAACACUGAGUCGGGCUUCCUAGUCCUAACCAUUAAAGGCUCCUGGAUCAUUUUCAUGGGCUUUACGAAUUAGGGGGCAGCUGAGAUAUUUACCAUGUUUCAUGUGACCAUGUGAAAUUGUGCCCUGCGAUGUUAAAUUUAUUUUAGAAAGAAAGUGCCAUUUUUUGAAUGUACUUUUAACUUGGUUGAGCAUAAAUCCUCCCAAAAAAAAAAAAAACUUGGAUGCGACGAGCUUGUGAAAUCGGUUUCGAUCUUGAUUUAGACAGGGGUAGAUGCUAACUCACAAUUGUAGAAGUAACCAAUUAAGGGAUUCAAAGGCAAAAUCUCAAAAAAAAAGAAGCAAAUCCCAAUUGACUUGGUUAUCACUUGAUUUACGGGUACGUUCCUUUUAUAUUCUCCUGCCUUCAAUUUUCGGAGCUCUUACAGUACAAAAAUUGACCUGACAAACCUAAACCAAUGGAUUGAAUGGGGUCAAUUGAUCUAAAACCUACCGUCCAACAUAUGGAUAUCCAUUCCAGAUGAAUCGUAAGUAGGGCAGACUUACGUGAAGACUUGGAUCAGGGCAAUGAAUGUGGAUGGAAAUGGACUUUGCUGGCCGACUACAUGGGAAUGGAUAUGUCUCAUUGGUUAAACGAGUGGAGUAGUAAUUGUCACCACGUCUCAUUCCUACCAUUUCUUUCUUGUUUUUGCUUGUCUCCUCUAUAACUUGAUUACCGUUGGAAGAAGGAACUUCUAACCAUUCCACAAGAAUUAGAGCAAGAAGCCGCUAUUUCCACUCGAAGGAUCUGUGUGUACGUAGUAAUUUGGACCCCAAACAAAGCAAAAAGUCCUGCAAGAAUCCAUUAAAUUAUGGCAGAGAGAUAUGCAUAUCAAUUAUCAAAUCCCAAUUAUUUCAAUGCCUCUGCCGUCCGAAAUCUCUUGAUUCCAAAACAUUCACUGGACUGCAAUAAGAUGCUGUACCAAUUUUCACGCCAGCACAAGUUUUCGAAUGUAAGGGCUGUGUUGGUAGACGAUGAAUCUUUAAGCAACCUAUAGUCACACAACACGUCCUGACCUGUAGCAGUAAUCUGAGCCAAACCUACCAAAAUUUUUCAUUAUCCAAAAAAAAAAAAAAAAAACUUACAGACCUUUUCGGCCACAUUGGCAUAUCAAAUUCGUUGAGUUGCUUGAUUAUUGAAGAUAUCACAUACUGAUUUGGUGCUAAUUUAAUAUCGAGGCACCCUCUUGAAUCUUGAUAAUUAAAUGACAAAAGGGUCCGUAAAAUUGCAGAACUAACUCCAACCGCAGGCAUGCUUUUCCAGCAUCUAGUCUCUGUAGUGGAUGUGAGAUACUCACUGCUGAUUAAAUGCCAUCCAAGCAAAAAUCCAAAUCAUUUCAUUUUCGGGGCCAAUUGCCACUUAUGCCACUUUCCAUGGCCAAGGCACGUCCGCAAUUUCCCUGAAAACGGGAAGAAAAGACAUUAGGAACGCGUGAUAUGAAGCUUGUCUUUGGUAAUUUAACUUCUGCCAGAGCACAAAAUCAUCCCUUUCAGACCGGCUGCAUUGAUAAGUAGGCAUUUUUAACCCAUAAGAUUUUAAAAAAGGUGAUAAAGACACUUACGUGAUAUAACUAUUAUAACAUCCUUAAUUUUUCUUUUUAACAAGAUAGAAUCUAUUCUAUACCUACUUCUACUCUAUAUUAGAGAGAAGAGGAACCUAAAGAGGUCCAAAGAAAAUCGAAAGGGAUUGAGUUCAGACGAGUGCUUACGCAUCCGCUGGUCAAUUUUUUCAAAAAAAAAAACGGAAUUUUUUAACAUGUAGAUCAAGAAAUUUGAUCAUCCCUUGGUGACCAAACUCUAGAAGUGGUUGAGUAGUUGGUUUAUUAUAACGUCCUUACACUAAAGCAGACAUGCUCAUGGAUUACCGUAUAAAUCCGUAACCUGAAAUCUGUAACAUUGGCCAAUGAAUUCUAAAAAAAAAAAUGAAGGGUUGAGUUUUUUUUUUUUUAAAUGAAAAAAGAAAAUCUUGUCUGAUGCCAGAGUAACUCUGAGUCGACAUCAGCCUUGUAUAAUGUAACGCGGUUUCUCUGAAUAUUCAAAUUUCAUUCACUUGCCAGUUGCCGACCAAAAGCAACCAGCCAACCAUUAAUAUUCUUUAAUUUGGGUCGCUGCACAAUUGGGGGACCAUGACAAAAUCUGCAAAGGAAUUGAGAAGAGAACGAACCAUCAAGUCAAACAAGUUGAAAACGAUCUUCAUCAUUCAACACUGUCACUGGACAUAGACUCGGGAGUCGAAACAAAUAGUAGUGAUUGCAGAAGACUCCCCAUCUGAUUUAAUUAAGCAAUUGUUUGAAUUUUCAAGUCAAACAAAGUAAGUAAAUGUUUACGGAAUUGAAACUAAAACAAAAGAAAAAUAUUUUGUACGAUACUAAGCAGCAGAAUACCCAAUUUCUUCUUCUUUUUCUAUAGUGCAGUGGAGACUUGGAAUUUGGAAACAGAGUGGAUUGCGGUUGCAAGCGGAGUCCAGAUAUUUGACAACCUAAAACAGACAAGGUUUGAUAAUUGGAGACUUGAGGGAAUAGAAUGAUUGAGAGUCGAACCCGGAUAUUUUUCUUUACAAGCAAGGAAAAGAAAAGGAUUGUAAUUAUAGACUGGUUCGACCUUAAGCUGGGGUAACGUUAAUUGUACCUGCCUGUAACCUACACAAAUUCUACGUUGACAAAUUACAAUAAUAUUUGGUCUAUUCCUUGUUACGGCUCGGAACAACGGUGCCAUUUCCGGGCAAUGCCAUUUCAGUCUCGGCCGCCUUGGCUUCCUCCCUGAAUUUCUUAUAGAUGUCGCCCUUGUAAAAGUUUCUAGUCCUCGACACCAAAAUCAAUGAAAUCAGCGCUCCAAAAACUGUUACUGCAGUAAUGAUGAUGAAGGCCAAUUUGAAGCACUCUACUCCAUCGCAAUUCAGAUCUUCUCCGUGCUUCCUCUUCAGUCCCAACGCGUUGAGCUGCCUCUCAGCUUCCCUGUCGUAUAGAUGUCCAGCGACCCUCACAUUGAGGAGAUACGAGCCAAUUGGACUGGCCACGGAGCCAAAAUUGUAGAGAGUGGAGUAAUAUUUGAGGCCAAAAAGUUCAGAAAUUAUAGCAAAAAGUAGGGCCAUUGAGCGCCAAAGCAAAAUCCUAUGAUUACUGAUGCAACGUAUAGCCCAUUUGAGACACCAAAAGCUAUGAGAAGAUGGCCUGUGCAGGAUAUGACUAAUAUGAUUGUAAGCAUCAGGGUACGAGGAAAUUUGUACUUGGUUAAAAAGUGCUCAGAUACGAAACCUGAAACCACUCUUCCUAGAUAAUUCCAAAUACUCACGAGUGACACAAAUGUGCUAAUGCUUCUUUUGGGGUAGCCGAGUGAAGCUCCAAUCUGACCCAAGUUGUCAAUUGCCGUCAAAGUACCUCCAACACCACAAAUUGUUGCCAGAAAGAGGAUGAACAUAUCCAUACUGAAGAGUGCCUGAAGUAUGGUGAAAUCCUCACCUCUAUUUGGUGGCCUGAAAGCAGUUCUCCAGCAAGAUACUUCCUGGAUUUCUGUGGUAGGUUGUUGCUCUGUAGUAUUUUUAACUGCGGACGAAGAUGGUAAUUCCACUUGCUCUUCUGUUGAUUUUGGCUGAUAAUCAGUUGCAGCAGCCUGAUCAGGACUGGGAUUCUCAGUGAUAACUUUCAGCUGAGAUAUACCAUCCAGGGCAGCUUUCUUUUUCCUCCACGUAUCAAGCUCUUCUUGAAUAACAACGGCAAUUGGUAAAAAGCAAAAUAAUGACGACAACACCACUGAUGCUAAACUCACUAUGGCUGAAUUUAAACCUGUUCUGGAGUAUAAUCAUUACCAUGAGAAAUCCAGCGAGCCCAAGUGAGAUAUACAAAACUCUGUAGAAGACUUUCAGCUCGUGUUUGAUUCGAACGACCUUCAUGAUUCGGAUUGUUCGAAGGAAAGCGAAGGAAACAACUGUUGGAAGCCAGGCAAUCAUCAAGAUCAAAGACUUGGUAUCAUCAACAUACACUGCAUGAUAGAGUUGAGUGAUGAUUGCACCACUUAGGCCAACAAAACCUUUGAGAAGUCCAAGCACAACUCCCCGGCUUUCCGGGAAGUUCUUGACUGCUGUGACCAGGGCUCCUGUAUUGGCAAAUGACUGAGAAUUUCCACCAAUACAAAUGUACAAGCACAUGUGCCACACUUGGGGUUUGGAUAUUCUUUUGGUCACGGCUAACCAAAUCAUGAAGUAGCCAAAGAAAUUCAGGACUGCACCCAUUGACAGUACAACCCAUGGUGGGGUGACUUCAUUGAUUAGGCCUGAGAGGACACCAACAUUAGAUCCCAAGUCUUUGAAAAAACUGAGUAAAUUGAGUGUACUUUGGUCAUAGCCAAGGGUUGUUUUGAUCUCUUGUGAGUAAAGGCCAAACAUGUAUGUUGCACCAGCGGCAGCCAUGAUGAAAAUGGUGGCAAAGAUCAUGAACCACCGGCUGGUGAUGACCUGGACGGCAAAGCCGCGCAUGUUUGAGCAGCCACCACCUCCACCAUAAUUGCCAGCAAACACCAUGGUUGAGUUGAUAUGUGUGUUUUUAUUGUUUAAUGCCUAUUGGCAACGACUAGGAGCUUAUGGCAUGCCAAGGAAGUUUGCCAGGAAACAUGACUUAUUUAUAGGAGUAGUUGUCUUGUCCUUAGUUUACAAGUGUUAUUUGGAGAGAGAGAGAGGGAAGAGAGAGAGUACAAAGACUUUAUAGUUGACCAUAGUAUAGUUCUAGGAAGUAAGGAUGCAAACGAAUCGACGAGCCGCUCGAUUCAAGUUCGACUCGAGUUUGAUCAUUAUCGAGCUCAACUUAAUUUUUUCGAGCUCGAGUUUCAAAAUUGUCAGCUCGUUGAGUUCGAACUCAAGUUCGAAUUCGAAAAAAUUAAGUCAAGACUCAACUCGAUUAGAUCAAAUCUCGACUCGGUUCAACUCGUUUGCAACCCUACUAGGAAGGAUGGGUUGUAAAAAGAGAUGAAUAUUUUGUUUGAUUCUUUGGUAAUAUGGAAAGGAACUACCAAAGAUUGUUGUAUAUCAAUAGUUGGAGUUAUACUUGGGAAGAUCACAUGUGAAUUAAGCUUCUUAUCCAUGAGAUUAUUUUAAUAAUGGCGUCGUAAUUGCUGCAUCUUUGAGAUCAAGUUGAUGUUUGAAUUAUGGGCAAAGAGAUCACAGAAUUAUAAAUUUGAAAGAUCAAGGCAAAAACCGGGCGAUUUGUUUCGCUAGUUUCUUUAUUAGUUGUUGGUUUAUCCAUGCACUGAUUUUUUUUUUCUUAAUUUAAUUUAAUGGCUAAUAGCAAAGGAAAAGCAAGAUUCAUUGGGAUUCAGGCACUUGACUAAAUACAUGAUCAUGGAAUCAAACAACAUUUUGAUUCAAUCCAACAGCAAUAUAUGUGUGUGAGAAACUUAAUAUGAAUAGUUACACCAAAUCAUACAAUAUGAUCAAACUUAAUAAGUCAUAACUUAAUAUGAUCAAGUCAACUAUUAGUUGCACCAAAUGAAGAGGGCUAUAUAUAUAUAUAUAUAUAUAUAUAUAUGAAUAGUUAAUACUCCCUGCUCGUUAGCACUUUCCCAGCAAGUGACCUGUUCAUGCUCCAUUGGUUAGUCACAAAAUCAUGUUAAGGCUUUAGAUGGAUUAAGCUCCAGUCUUUGUCAUAAAAGCAACAUUUUCUUUUAUUUGCUUUAAUCAGAAAUAAACAUUCCGUGGCAGAAAAGUACAACUUUUGAGACUAAUAAAAGUACCUAAGCAAAAUAGAAAAGAACUAAGAAAAGAAUCUGUCAAAAUUUGCUGAAUGGUGAUGAUUCUGUUAAGCCAACGACAUUGGCAAUUUUUGCAUAAAAUUACAUGCUCCAUUGUUAGUCCCUAAAUGUCUAAUUUUUAUAGUAAUCUUUAAUUCCUGAAUUAGUAUGAUAAGCCAUAGCACCAUUUCAUCACAAAAACCCACAACUUGAUCAUCAGAUGCUUGUUAAACUGUAUUUGUACAAGAUACACACACACACACACACACACACUAAAGGAUUUAAAAAGUGAUUGGAUUACUUCUCAAUCGAGCUUGAAAAGUUGGACUUUUUUUUUUCCCUGUUGGAGCUUCAAGCCAAAGGCUACAUUAGGUGGCUUUUAUUAAUCUAAUCAUUCAUUGGAGCUCAUAAAUUUUGAUAUCCUUUUACGGCACUAUCCCUCUAAUUAAGUUUCUAUCUCUUAAUUAUACCCUAGCCCGACACGAUUAGAUUCAAUCCAAUUCCAACAUUGCUUUGGUCGAGAGUUUUUGUUGAACUUCCUCUUGCAGUAACUUAAUUAAUGCCUAGUCAUAUGCUUUAUUUUGAUUCUCAUUCAUGUAUUGAGUCACUUUUAGAGAAUCGAACUGCUACCAUUAUUAUUCCACUUGUCUACAGACUCUAUACCCUUUCAUUUUCUUAUCGAGGUAUUGAACCAUGCCUGCCAGGCCUGUCAACAUGGCCGGUACAUCAGGAUAUAUACACAGUUUGUUGAGAUGAAACAUUGUGCAAAAAUGGUUUCUUUUACCAAUAAACUAAAUUAACUCCUCCACAUAAAUCUUAUUAAUAAUAAAAAACAAAGCACAUAGGUUAUGAUGAAGUGGAAGGAUACCUUACAUAAUUACAUAAGCUUUGGUUAAUAGAGAUAUAGCUUAAGGACAGAAGCUCUAUUUUGUUGAUUAUGAAGUUAAAGUUAAAACUAGGAAGACAUGUUUAAACUGAGGAUGAUUGAUAUAUGGCCCCUUAUACUUGCCAGGAUCAGACAAUACAAAAGAAAGAUUUACUCAAAAUUUUCAUCGACUUGAAGAGCAGACAAAGGAGAAGAUUCAUUAUACUUUCCAUGUUUUGAUGUCCAUACGAUUUUUGUGUCAACUAAUUCUCCUAAAGUUCAGAAUUCUCACGCUUCGGACGUGGAUAUUUCACCAUUAGUUGCUUGCCCUUUUCUUCUUUCCGUCCUAAAAAAAUGAAAAUAUAGUUGUUGAAAGCCUAUUAAGAGGGGGAAAAAAACAAGAGAUCACGAUAAGUACAAACAGCCAUGUACGUAACCUCCUAUCAUGUAGUCUUAGACAAAUUCUAUAAAAUGAAGUGGGGCAUCCACGCACUAAGGGUUGGGGAUAUUUUUAGAUGCAUGGACCAUAAAUUCCAAGAGAUAAUUCAUGAUGAAAACCUCUAAAACGGCAGACAGUUGAUUGGGUUAUUUGGGGAUAUUUAACUGUAGUCUUUCUGGAGCUUUUGUGAAAAAAUAUACUCUAGAAAUUUGAUAUAUAUGAGGUGAAAUGUCGCUGAUAAAUUAGAGAUGAGUUCAAUAGUACAGAAGGAACAAAUGUAAGUGGGAGGUUUGGAUUCGAAACUUCCCACUUACAAAAAAAAAAAAAAAAAAAAAAGUUAAAAAUUAAUUUUAAAAUGAUUAAUAAAUGUGUCCAUGAAAUAUGUAAGUUUUUUUUUUGAAAAAAAAAACUUUGCAAACAAGGCCUAUGUUUUCUCAUCAUCACCGUAUUUAGGGUACUGGCUUCGAAAUGUAUAAAGGCGUCAGAUUUGUUCGGAUUUUUUUCUUUUUUUUUUUUCAAGGCAAAACACAUAGAUAAUUUAAUUUAUGGAUAAAAAAAAAAUGCUUGGAGGAAAAUUGUUUGUAUACGCCAAUUCUCCAACCCCUCCUCUUUCUCCUCCAAAAAAAAAAAUAAUUUGAGAAAUUAUUAAGUACAGAGAUAGCAUCCUAUCGCGCUAUAAAUUCAAAUUGGUAGAAAGAUUUAUUGACCAGCUUCUUCUGAUUUAUAGAUACUUUUUUUUUAAUUAGUAACUUUCUCCGAAGAUUUUUUUUUUUAACAGAACUUUCUCCAAAGAAGAGUUAGGCUUCGCGAUUCUAUCUGCUGCCAUUGCCCCACGGAAUAUUCUCCCAUACAAUGCUUUGGGUCUAAACCAACCUCUUCAAUAAAAGAUAAUGACAGCAUUGACGUUAUUGGGCUGUUUAUUGAAGCAAUGUGAUUAUUUAUCUAAUGAACAAUUAUUUUUCAUUAAUGCAAAGUCAGCAGAAGCCCUAACAAACCUAGAAAUAAAUACAAUUAGGUUGGGUAGUUAGCAUGCACCUAGAUCAUGACAUUUUGUGAAGCCUAAUUCCCGGCAUCAACGAGGUUUGAUGGAUAUCACAUGCAACCCCUAAGAUAACUCCUCAUUUAUCAGUUGAAAUGAGGGUACAACGGUAAAUAGAUUAUCAAAUUAACUUUUUAUACACGGAUAAUAUAGUGAUUUUUUUUAUACAAAUAACUAUGGAUGUAUGUCACUUAUGCAUAACUUGAAUUUCAAAAUUAAAUUCAUAUCAUGUGACAUGAUUUAAUCAUGCUAGUAUAAAAAAAUUAUCCACUGACAAUGUAUAAAAAAAUAUACUCUAUCUUAUAUAAAUUUUUUUUAAAAUUUUAGACUCCUCGUACAAUUGACCAAUGAAAUUCAUGCUUAUUAAAAUAAAAAUAGUAAAGCUAAUUCUUGACAUGCAAUUGUCUUUAUAGCAAAUUCGGUAUCUCAGCAUUGUUUUUCUUUUUUUUUUUUUUGAUGAAAUAAAGUCAAUAUUAUUAAUAAAUUAGUUGAAAAUCAUCCAGCGUGAUUUGCUUCACAAAGCAAUUUGCAUUGAUAGUAGAAAAUACGUAGAACAUAUUACAGAUAUAUGUGAUCUAAAAAAAUCAUUAGAUUUAAUAGAGUUACAAAAUAUAAAAAGAUUAUAUUGUGAAUUACAAAUCAUCAGAUUUGACUAAUGGCAAGAAGUACUCGAUACAUAUCUGUGCAUGUCUUUUCCUUCAUAUAUGCUAUCAAACUAGUUUAAAUCCAAAUUUGAUGAUGAGAUCUGACGAGAAAAUUCAAGAAAUUUUAAAUCUAACAUAUAGAUUUGAAAAAAAUUCUUAGAUAUGAGAAAAAAAUAACAAAAACUAAACAAACUUCUCACUGGGAUAAUUUAGGAAAGAAGAAAACUCUCUCUAAUAAAACACAAAGAGAAACAAAACCGUCACUAGAAGAGACUUUAUUACACAAAAAAUAAAAACAGAGGAAGAUGGGUAGAAAGAAGACCAGUUAUAAGCAUUGUUUUUCUUGCAUGUAUUGAGAAGGACCAAUUGAAGAAGAAAAGGUGAAGAGGAACUAAAACAUUUAAUCAAGUAAAAGCUGUAACGAAAGCCAAUGGUAUUUCAAUAAAAUCUCCGAAGGAGUUGGAUAUAUCAGGGAGAUGGAUAAUGAAACCUAUCUCCACUGGGCUGUACGUGAUUAUUAGACUGCGCAACUAAUUUUGUGAGUGUUUAUUUGUAAUUUACGGUAUGAACUAGGGUUAGAUCUACCAAUUUCAUCGUGAAGGUGGAUCGCAUUUCGAAGAAAAAAAUAAAAUGAAUUCAUUUUCGUGAUUAUCAUGCUUACAAUCUUUGACCAUACUUGUUUACAGUAUUUGACAGCAUUCAUAUAUGAUACUAUUGCUCUCACUUUCAACUCAACGGAAAGUGAUAAUUCGGCCUGAAAAUAAUAAACCAACGUGAUGAUAAAGUUGUUAACGAUUUGAUGCAAACCUUGACUCUAUUACUUGCAUGAAAUUAGUUUGAAUCUUAUUGCCAAACCAUUUUCAAGGAUGUCAAAAUUCUCUACUCCUAGGUGAUGUAAAACUCAGGUAUAUUGGUUGAUUUUUCUUGUAAUACAUAGAUAAUGGCGGUUGAACUUUAUACGCUUAACCUCUCAUGGAUCAAAAUCAAGCUUCCUAUAUCGCAAAUGUCUUUUGUGUUGACUAGAAUAUUCAGCUGUUAAACUUGUGGUGCUUGAAGACAAACGGAUGAUUCUGUCUGUGUAUAAUAGCUUUGAACACAUCCCUAUUCUAAUUAUUUCUCAAGAAAGAAAACGGUUUGCUGAUUAUGAGUGUCCAAACAUUUUAAAGAUAUAAAAAUUCUUAAAAGUGUGAGAAACAAUUUAUGGGAAGAAUAAUGCAAACUAUGAAAUAAUUAUUCAUUAUCGAGAUAAAUUCAAAAUUAAUAAUUCCACUUAAUAGUAAUUUAGAAUCCAUUAACUUGUAUACAUAAUCAUUUUUAGCUGAUAUGUACACAUAAGAUAAUCAUAUAUUCACGGAAAUGAAAAUGUUAUGUAGAUUUUCUCGUGCAUCCUAGUUUACACUGUCAAAAACUGAACAAGUCAAACGAUUUGUCAUCCUUUGCUAGGCAGAUUCUUUAAUUACCAGUGGGAAGGCACAUUAAAAAAUAUUCAUAAAAAUGAAGAUAUAAUUUGUUGGCAAUUAUUGGAGAUUUUAUUAGUCUUAUAAUUAAAUGGGAAAUGGGGGUGUAUUUUUCUUUCUUUCUUUCUUUUUUUUUUUGAAAAGAAAGGAGGUGGUUAUUGGUGGUUUUUACUGAUAAGUAUUGAAUAAUUAAUGGUAGAUUUGAAAUAACAAUUAAUGACACAAUUUUUUAUGUAAUACCAAUCUCAUGGCAUAUGCAUUAUAUAGAGAGAGAUACAUUUAGGCCUGCCAUGAGAUUGGAACCAAUGAAAUUCUUCUUCUUUACAAGUUUAAACUUCGACUCAAGGUGAAAACACGAUUAAUUUCUCCAACUACUGCAAAGUUAGGAAUCAAGAGCCUGCACCCCCCCCCCCCCUGUGUGUAUAUCGUAAACUUCCCUUGUUGAAUUUGAUCAACUGAACUAGUUUCAGUCAAACAAUCAAGCUAAUGUACAUGGACCGGCACUCUGAUCCCAGAAAGAUACAUACAGCCACUUCAGAACCAGAAACCAUUUGGAAAUACAGGUCUUCUUCUUCUUUUUUUUGGGUUCCUUUUCUUGGACUGCCACGUUUGUGAUCUAGUCAAACAAGCCAUGAAUUUGCAAGCAUCUAAUCACUAUCACUGAUAAGCAAAUCUUACACGCACCACAUAUUCACCAGGAAUUUUCCUCCAAGAAAAUUCAAUAUUCUUUUUUUUUUUUUCAUCUAAUUAAAUCAUCAGUCGUCGAUCAGUUCAUACAAGUGUAUGUUUUGGAUAAAUGUAGUUGACUAAUUGAGCUGCUGAUCAGCAAGAACUAAUAUCCAUCCACCUGAUUAGGCCUCAAGAUAUGCGAUCACGCUCGGAAGAAGCGUGGUCAAAAGAACUUAUUCGAGUUUGGAUCGAAGCAAUGUGUGUGAAUGCAGCGGUUUUUUUUUUUUCUUUUCUUUUUAAUACAAUUAUUAUGCUUGAUUAAUCAGUCCUGAGGGCCAGGGAAAAAGUCCUUGGCAUAAUAUUCCAGGAACUCUUGGAAAAAAGAAUAGGUUCUAGAAAGGACCUAUAUAAAAAUUUAAAGACAUAAUCACUUGUAUCUAGCAGCAUCAGCAUCGCGAAAGGUUGACGCAUCCCUGUGUGUUUUGAUGUACCACAAGUUUAAUUGCGUAGGAUUGUGCAUCUGUCCAACGUUCGAAAGCUACGGGUGACAAAACCAACUAAUACGGGGCUCGGAAACUUCUUCUGUGUUUGGACAAGUGUGAACAACUGAACUUUCUCUGGUAAAGGUAUGGUUUGCAUUUUCCUGUUCGGAAUGGAGGAAAAUUUUACUUAGACAACUGUUCUCUCAGUUUACAUGCAAUGAUUUUGAUUGUCACAUCAUUCAACAAUGAUAAGCAUCUGGGUUUUAAGUGAUUGAGCUUGAUAGCUAGCGAGUGCCAUUUAAGAGCCAGGAAGAACCCUUUUUUCAUUACUUUGACGGUGAAAUUUCAGUCUAGGUUCAUCAUCAAUGAUGUAGCCAAAUAUGAAAUAUAGGAUGCGGGAGGGUAAGCACAUGUACGUACGUGUUUCAUUUGAAAACAAGGCAGGAAACGUUUCCAACUUUCUCAUGAUCUCAUCAUGUCAAAAUUAAAGACUAAUCAUGGCGUUUCCAAUUCCUACUUUUGAGCCGAUAGAAUCAGGUUUUCAUCAACUUUGUGAAAUGUACGAGAUGACUCCAAAUUGGUAUGUAUGGUAUGGCAACUCAACCUUUUUUCUUUUUUUUUUGAUAAAAACAAAAAGUUCAUUAAUAGCAUCCUGCACCACAAUUUGACUUAAAUCAUUGUAACAGGUGCGAUAGAUCUGAAAAAUUUUGUAAUUAUUUUCAAAUAGAUAAAUCGCUGCAACUCCGUUCUGUGCAUGUUACAAUCGUCAGAUUUUAAGUUAAUGAUGACAUCCGUCGAAAUAGAUUCAACAAGAUUCAAAAUAUGCAUGCAAAUUGUCCUAAAAAUGUAUGCAAAUUCGAAAUGAAACUCGUCGAUAUUUAAGUACAUUAAUUUCGUGUCGACAACUUGCAGGAGAUUUUUCAGCAGGAAACCUUAUCAAAUUCUUUAUUGGCGUUUAAAUGUUCCGCACAAAUGACUCAACCUCAGAAGAACCGACUGACUUAUCUACUGCAUUCCUUGCACGUGCAUGCUGAAUUGGCGUUUAAAUUCUCGAAGCGACAUCUCCGCAGAAGCAGAACCCUCUCUGCGACAAAUACAACUGUCAAAUUAUUUACUAAUGUCUCCUCCCAAAAAACUAGUAAUCUAUCGUCUGUGUUGGGCUGUCAAUUGCCAAGUUCAACCUUAAUUAAACAGGUUUUCAUUAUCAUAAAAAAAUUAAACAGGUUUUAAUCUUGUUUUUCCUGUUCUUCUAGAUUUGGUCUUUCUUUGUUUGGUUUUUCCCAACAGUAAAAUCGCGACAAAUAAAUUGCAAGUUGCAGCAUCAUCUGUUUUUCGGGGUUCGAUUCCGUAGUUGUAGUCCAGUUGGACGAGAGUCACGUUCAAGGAUCGAGUCCCGGGUGACCUUGGUCAGUGAUGUUAGGUAGCCUCUCCCGGCCACGCAGUGAAAUUAGUUAAAGUAGUACGGUAUUACCAGUCCAUAAAUCUCAGAUACCCUAUGUGAUAAAAAAAAAUAAAAAUUGCAGCAUCAUCUAUUAACGGGGGUUGCCAUCAUCUCAUGCGUCUUUUGAGUGAUUCGAGGCCGUCUUGCCUGACAUCAUUUACCUCCACUGACACUCUGUUAAGUAAAAGAUUUAACAAACAUAUAAUUAUAAUAGUUGUGGUCAAAGAUCUAUCACCCAAAAUGCAAACCUGGGGAGUAUUUGUCCUCUCAAGUGUGGGACUAAGUCGUGAUUUCGGUGGAUUGUAAUUUGUUUAAUUGAUCUCACUAUUGUAGGUUACAUCUAACUUUUAUUAUUAAGAAAAAAAAAUAGAAAGGCACAAUAUUCUAGGCAGAUUGAUGCUGUACAUUGGUUGGGUCUAUUAAUUAAAAGUUUGGAGUUUUCCAAUUUAGAAAUUUUGGAUUGUAAUUCUCCGUUUUUUCUCUUUUUUCUUAAAUUUAAUCUGGAAAAAAAGGUCCGAAACCAAAUUUCCAUUGUAUGAAUCUUGAUUUUUGACUUCGUGACAGCUAGAUUUCACCCGUGUACUAGCAUGACAUUUGGUAUUAGGGCUUUUUCAGUUCUUGCAACGGAACCCAUUUUUCAACAACAUAAGAACAAAAAGUGGACAAAUUACCCAUGUUGAAAUCCGUCAACAAACAUCAUCAAGCCUUUAAAGCUCAGUGGGUUGGAAGGUAAGGGUUCACAUCAAUUACCACAUUAAAAUGUGGAUUUGCCUUAAAAAUUCAGGUGGGUGCGUACUGCACUCGUUUGGUCCGAUGGUGAUUCAGUUCCUUCCGGAUUAUUUUUGGAUCUCCUUAGAUCCACUCCCUCCUCCCUUAACGUAGGAUAGAUUAGGAUAUACUGUAAAAAAUAAAAAAAAAUAAAAAAAAAGAAACCCGUCAACACGUGUGAGGUUUUGUUGGACCAUUCAACAAUUCUUAGGGAUGAUUUUUAUUUUCUUGGUCAAAAUAAUUAGGGAUGAUAGGUACAUCCAAAAAUCUGCGCAAGUACCCCCACAAGUCCACUUUCCACAUCUUUCCAAGGAACCUUUUUCUUAUGUCCGACAUUUCUACCAAUCCGAUGCUCACUCGAAAGUCUAGGAAAUUUCACAGCAAGCCUUGGAAAUAAAUACAGAUCCUCGCCCAACUUGCAUCAUGUGCGGCUGAAUAAGAUGAACCAUAGCACAUCAACUUUUUUGGAUACGGAAUAGUUGUUUAUUUCCUAAAGGCUAAAGGUCACCACCAUCUUUGGUCAAUGACCAACUAUCUAAGGCACUUCAAAUUCAGAAAACCAAACUGCUUUUGAAAAGCACAGUUCUAAAGAUGAUGAAUAUCUGACCUAAAUGGUUCAAUGGAAAACGAGCUAGCUAGCCAAGGAAUUGGGAUGCUACUGUACUGUUGCCUUGAUCUUCUAGAGCAGGCGGCAGUACUUCUCAGGUCAACUACUGGACGCGUUUACACACACCAACAAUGGAAAACUUGCAAAUUGAUGUAAUUUCAUCUAGAAGGGAGACUAAUUAAAUCCACACUAUUAUGGUCAAAGUUCUCAAAUUUGGGAAGGAUUAAAUCCACACUAUUAUUAUAUUCUAAAUCUACACAGCUAGCGGUGGUGCAUUGAUAACUUGUACAAUUAAUAUUAAUAAUUUGUAUCAUUGCUAUCAGAACUAAGGUUGCAAACGAAUCGAGUCGAUCUUUGGAUUAAUCGAGCCGAGUCUCAACUAAAUUUUACCAAACUCGAGCUCGAGCUCAAGCACGACGAGCCGGCAAUUUAAAAUUCGAGCUCGAGCUCGAAAAAAAUAAAAAAUAAUUAUUUUAUUUUUUAAAAAAUAAAUAAAAAUAAUAUUUUUUCUUAAUAAAUAUUAAGAAUAUAUAUGUAAUUUUACUAUUAAAAUAAGAAAAUAAAAAAAUAUACAUAUACUUAAAAUAAAAAUAUAUAUAUACUUAAAAUAAAAAAAUAAAAAAUAUUAUAUAUAUAUAUAUAUAUAUAUAUAUAUAUAUAUAUAUAGAUGUAUAUAUACUCGAACUCGCGAAUUGACUCGCGAGCUAACAAGUUUAAUAUUUUGAACUCGAAUUCGAGCUCGACACGAGCUCGAUAUUGAUCGAAUUUGACUUGAGCCGUUGCAGCCCUAAUCAGAACUCAGUGUGAGAUGUGUAUUUAAGAAAUUAGGAUGGACGGGUGUGGAUUUAACUCCUCCCUCUCUCAAUUUGUAAUUUUGUAGGGUUAACCAUUAUCAAGUAUCUACCGGCUCUUGACCCUUGUGCAUACGGCAUACUUAAAUUGACACGAGGGAUGAAAAGCAAAAUCUCCUCCACCAAAGCGAGCAAAAUUUUCCUUUCUUUAAUGAUCGAAGUUGCUCAUUAAUGCACAAAAAACCUUUACAAGACAUGUACACGAGACAGGUUUACUAAAACAAGACCCUUGCAUGUAUGAAGAGUAAACUUUAGAUUUAAAUUUGGGUACUGAUCGAUCAUCAUUCACAAGGGUUGAAUUAUUUGGUCCACGUUCCACCGGGCAAAUUUUACGCAAUCGUGCCACUUGAUUAGAAAGGAGUAAUGAUGAUACUUUUUUUUUUUUCUUGGAUAAAACAGAAGUCGAUAUUAUUAUUAGUGAAAUAAUUGGAAAUCGUCCAGUAUAAUUGUUUGAUAAAAAAAAUAGAAGAGCUGCAUCAAUAGUACGUACAAAAUAUAUAGAAUACAUCACAGAUGUAUUUAAUUUGAAAAUUUAUUAUAUUUCUGCAUUGAACAAGCAUGCCCUUGGUUAGUUUCUUGAUGCGUAUUAGAUAGAUGUCAUCUUAUCCAGAGCAUGCCUUGGGAUUUUUACAUAUCUAUGGAUGGAACAGGGAAGAGAUCAACUAGUGCUUUCAGUUAAUUAAUUUAACGAUGCUUUCCUUGUCAACGUAUUCCUCUCCUCUUCUCUUGUCUGCUUUUGCGAAUUACUACUACAAAAUAUAUCAGGCGGCUGUGCUGUGUCGGAUUUUUUUUAAGCAGUCUAUCCCACCUCAUUAAUUAUAGUAAAAACCAUCAAAAUUAAGAUCAUUUUUCGUCUCACAUAAUCGUACUUUCUGCUCUAUUUCUGUUACCACUUGAUGAGAGAUGGUACAGGACAAACUCUUGCGCACCCACUGACCUAUUUCCUCUAUAAUUGACAUAAAAUAUAUGGAAAUUUUGCUCAUAUAAACUUUUAAGCGACCGGCUGUGUGUGUGCGCGCGCGCGCGUGCAUAUAUGUAUAUGUUAUAUACGAAACAAAGAUCUUCAGAAAUUUUAGGCCUAUGGAAUUGAAUGUGCACUUCAAUGAAAAAAAAAUGAAACUUUAUGUUUUGGUAUUUUCCUGUUUAUGGAACUAAAAGAAUUUGUUGAAGUCUUGAAAUUAAUCAUGCAGUAAAAUUACAAGUCAACUGCUGGUCUGCUAGUACAUGUUGGUAGUCGGCCUAACGGAUAUGGAUCCGAUACAAUUGUCGUUAAUUGUGUUUGGUACAAUCAGGAUGGCACGUCCAGCCAAACUUGAAGCUGCGAAAUUGGGGAAAAGGAUAUGCAUGAAACAUUAAAUUAGCAGCUUGUUAUUAUAGACUACUCUAAUAGUAUAGAGAUAGUUUGACUUAACAAAAAAGUAAAAGGUUGAUGGUGAUGUGACUGCAAAAUCUGUUUUUCCUGAUACAACUCAACGUAGUUAGUUAAUUUAUUGUGUUUAGUACACUAAGCAUUUGUCAAGCGAAGCAGAAAUAUGCUUCAAGGAACCCUUAACUAAUAAUAAAGACACUUUUUUAAGCACAAAGGAGACAGGUCGGUUUAAAGCUUUAUUUCGUCUACCUAAGGUAAACUCCAAUUUUAACUUCCCAAAGUUACGAUAAUCUAAUCUGGCAAGUGGUACUUGGAAUGAUGUGCAGGAAAGGGAACGGAAGGAAGAUGACAAUAACCAAUUUGGAGCUCCAUCUAACAGUUAGAUAGAUGGAAAACCAGCAAAUCUGGCCCUUAGCCAAGAAAUUUCAAACAUAGGAUGUGAAAGUACAUUGCCUGAAUUCUCGUAUUGUCUACGGAUUUCAUCUCCAAGGAAUGCUAUCAAUAUGGACAGGCACAAUCAGAAUUAUAAAGUUUGAUCGCCUCUCUCCAUCAUGAGUCGCCUUUGGUCCUUUAACUUUAGUGUCAUACUUUCUUCACAACCGCCAAAAAACAAAUAGCCCAAGUUGAAAAUGUGGUCAAUUAUUAGUUAGGGAUAGGUUAAAUCCACACUUCUAAUGCAUUAAUAACUUGUAUCACGAGCACUGAUAACUCGCAUCAUUAGCAUUAAAACUCCUACCAGGUGUGGAUUUAAACUGUAAGAUGCAAAUUUAGUAUCAUCUAUUAUUUAUUAAACUUGAAUGCUUGUUUGGAUUGUUAUUUUUCUCCAAAAAAGUUUUACAUUUUUCGUGAACAAAUUUUUCAAUAAUCUUUUUAUCUCUCACAUACAUCACAUCGCUACGGUGCAUCUUCAAACGAUUAUUAAACCCUCAGAUUUUCGAUUUUUGGUAUGAAUAAUUGGAUGUUUAUUUGGGUUGCUAUUUUUUUCUACAAAAUUUUUACGUUUUUCACGAACCCAUUUUUCAAUCAUUUUUUUAUCUCACAUACAUCACAAGUCUAGUCUUUAAAAAGUAAACUUUUCAAACAAUUAUUGAACCCCCCCCCCCCAAGUUUUUAAUUGUUAUACCAUUCUAGUCUUUAAAAAGUAAACUAUUGAUUUUUUUUAUAUCAAUAAUGCAGUUUAAAUCUGGGUGAGAACGUUUGUCUUUGUACAAUUUUUAGCUUCCAAAGCCAAAGACAAUACCAAAUGGCUACGAAGACAACUUUCGUAUUUUCUUACAACCAAAAAAAAAAAAAGCCAAUUUCUUGCUUUCCCAUUCCAUUUGUACGGCACUCAAGUCAUCUCAUGCGUUCAGUUAAGAAACAAAAAACAUACCAAUACACUUUCCAUUUCAGAUUCUGGAAAACGGAGCAUGUCGUAGGACUCUCUCGUUUCUACCACAGCUACCAAUCAACAGCAGUAGCUAAUAUAACCUGAAAGACGCAACUUUCUGAAGAACCAUCCCAACUAUUAGAUCAGUCUGCCGCCAGAGGGGGCAAUAAGCUUUAGUACUUACACAUCACUUGCUCAAAACAUAAUGGGCUCUCUUCUGUACAACGCGGCGUGUAAUUUAGCCUUCAACCACAGUACAAUCAUUUCGGAAAACGGCGCCUGCUCUCCCUUAAGUACAAGGUGAAACACUGAGGCCGACGAUGACCCAGCUAACUGAUUUCGACACAAAUCGAUACUCAUCUCUGCUUGGAGGGGCUUGUGUUUUUAUACAUAGCAUCUUCCGUAAAGCUAUAGGCAAUCAUGACUUCAAGCUGGAAUGACCAGCAAAAACCUUGGCUUCAAACAGCUAGACAGAACAUUACCACAAAAUCACAAAUCAAACGAGAAACAGGUACCUGGCCAAAGAUAUGACCUAUUACUUCCCUAACUGCUUCAAUAACUCAUUCCACGAAUUUAGAUGGUCAAUGGAAAAACAAGCAGACAGCGGCAGAGUAUUAUCCAAUCACCCGUUCAGGAAUAUUACAAGGCUACCAGGCUUAUCUAAGACAGCAUCAGUCCAAAUACCAUUCUAGAUAGCAACAUUCAACAAAUUUACCAAAUU
rnacentral:lncRNA from 1 species